AUUGAACGCUGGCGGCAUGCCUUACACAUGCAAGUCGAACGGUAACAGGUCUUCGGAUGCUGACGAGUGGCGAACGGGUGAGUAAUACAUCGGAACGUGCCCGAUCGUGGGGGAUAACGAAGCGAAAGCUUUGCUAAUACCGCAUAAGAUCUACGGAUGAAAGCAGGGGAUCGCAAGGCCUUGCGCGAACGGAGCGGCCGAUGGCAGAUUAGGUAGUUGGUGGGAUAAAAGCUUACCAAGCCGACGAUCUGUAGCUGGUCUGAGAGGACGACCAGCCACACUGGGACUGAGACACGGCCCAGACUCCUACGGGAGGCAGCAGUGGGGAAUUUUGGACAAUGGGCGCAAGCCUGAUCCAGCCAUGCCGCGUGCAGGAUGAAGGCCUUCGGGUUGUAAACUGCUUUUGUACGGAACGAAAAGACUCUGGUUAAUACCUGGGGUCCAUGACGGUACCGUAAGAAUAAGCACCGGCUAACUACGUGCCAGCCGCCGCUGUAACAC
rnacentral:rRNA from 1 species